CUUGGUCAUUUAGAGGAAGUAAAAGUCGUAACAAGGUUUCCGUUGUAAGUUAACGGAGGAUUGAUGAUCCUUCUGCAGAUACACUUGCUGAAGCCUUAGCUGCCUGAAAGGGUGUUACCAGCGACUAUAAAUAACUAGGUGACUUAAAAGCUAGUCCCGUGCAAGCGGGGCGACACUGCCAAAUUGCGGGAAUACCUUAAAGCUUUGACUACCAAGCCGCUAUGGAAACAUAGGCGGUGGCCAGGGUAAUGACCUCGGGUAUGGUAAAAACGUCAAAGAUGUUACAAUAGGCAAUCCGCAGCCAAGUCCUAAGUAGCUGUAACGGGCUAUAUGGAUGCUGUUCACAGGCCAAAUGGUAGUGGGUUGUUCAUCGAAUACGAGCGUACGGUUUCUACUCAGAAAACCAGAAACUGCAUGGCGGAUCGUGCCUACAUAGCUUGGGCAUUUUUACCUGAGUGACAAAGGCAUGGAGGAGGUGUCUGUCAUCCUUGGUGGGCUCUUCCUUUAUAUCAUACAGCCAAAGUUCAGUAUAAGCUUCCAUUUGUGCUUCAUAGAAGCCCAUGCAUCCGGAGCGUCCCUUGUUGAUGAGUGGUGGUUCCCAUUCGAGAUGGUUCGGGUUGAAGUUGUCGCUGCGACCUUGCAGUGUAUGGCUUGCCUCAUGAUUCUCGGGACCAAUUCCAUGCCUGUAUAGGCAGGCAAUACGGUGAAGAUAGUGCUUCUUGCCUUUGAACCGUAUCUGCGUAUAGUCUCCUUUGGCCUUAGCGGGUUUAUAGGGGCUGGACACUGGCUUAUCGCGGGGGAAUAUAGGAUCGGGAAGCAGUAGGUUCUUGUACUCGUCUUCGGAUAGGUGCAGGUUCUUGCUACGAAACUUUGUGUUGUUUAUUGCUUGAUGCAACGCCAUUGCGAGUUCGGCCCUGGAGAGGUCAUUUGUAGUAGACAUUGUGCGUAAGUUAAAGAUGAAUGGCUUAAGAUAUGGUCGGGCCUCUUGGGAGACCUUGAGGGUGAGUAUCUGCGUGUGCGUGCUGGUAUUGAUGAAGUCGCUGUGACUUCAUGAUGCCAGUGACCACACAGUUUGAAUAAGUAAAACCGUUCCGUAGGUGAACCUGCGGAAGGAUCAUC
rnacentral:ncRNA from 1 species